GUUCCUGUAGUGCAAUGGAUAGCGCGUUCGACUUCGAAUCCAAAGGUCGUGGGUUCAAAUCCUACCUGGGAUA
rnacentral:tRNA from 1 species